rnacentral:rRNA from 1 species
GACGAACGCUGGCGGCGUGCUUAACACAUGCAAGUCGAACGAAGAGCGAUGGAAGCUUGCUUCUAUCAAUCUUAGUGGCGAACGGGUGAGUAACGCGUAAUCAACCUGCCCUUCAGAGGGGGACAACAGUUGGAAACGACUGCUAAUACCGCAUACGAUCUAACCUCGGCAUCGAGGAUGGAUGAAAGGUGGCCUCUAUUUAUAAGCUAUCACUGAAGGAGGGGAUUGCGUCUGAUUAGCUAGUUGGAGGGGUAACGGCCCACCAAGGCGAUGAUCAGUAGCAGGUCUGAGAGGAUGAGCGGCCACAUUGGGACUGAGACACGGCCCAGACGCCUACGGGAGGCAGCAGUGGGGAAUCUUCCGCAAUGGACGAAAGUCUGACGGAGCAACGCCGCGUGAGGGAUGACGGCCUUCGGGUUGUAAAGCUCUGUUAAUCGGGACGAAAGGCCUUCUUGCGAAUAGUUAGAAGGAUUGACGGUACCGGAAUAGAAAGCCACGGCUAACUACGUG